rnacentral:rRNA from 1 species
GAUGAACGCUGGCGGCGUGCCUAAUACAUGCAAGUCGAGCGAACAGACGAGGAGCUUGCUCCUCUGACGUUAGCGGCGGACGGGUGAGUAACACGUGGAUAACCUACCUAUAAGACUGGGAUAACUUCGGGAAACCGGAGCUAAUACCGGAUAAUAUAUUGAACCGCAUGGUUCAAUAGUGAAAGACGGUUUUGCUGUCACUUAUAGAUGGAUCCGCGCCGCAUUAGCUAGUUGGUAAGGUAACGGCUUACCAAGGCAACGAUGCGUAGCCGACCUGAGAGGGUGAUCGGCCACACUGGAAAUGAGACACGGUCCAGACUCCUACGGGAGGCAGCAGUAGGGAAUCUUCCGCAAUGGGCGAAAGCUUGACGGAGCAACGCCGCGGGAGUGAUGAAGGUCUUCGGAUCGUAAAACUCUGUUAUUAGGGAAGAACAAAUGUGUAAGUAACUAUGCACGUCUUGACGGUACCUAAUCAGAAAGCCACGGCUAACUACGUGC